rnacentral:rRNA from 1 species
UGGGGAAUAUUGCACAAUGGGCGCAAGCCUGAUGCAGCAACGCCGCGUGAGUGAUGAAGGCCUUCGGGUAGUAAAACUCUGUCAUAAGGGAAGAUAAUGACGUACUUAGAGAGUCG